AAAAAAAAACCUUUUCUCUAUCUUUUUCCCUCCAAAUUUCCCUUUUUUCCCCAUUUCUAAAAGAAAACCCUAACUUUCUCCCCGAUUUUCUCCGAUUAAUCGCACGACGCUACCCUUCUUGGCCACCGCUGCACGUGUCUUCCCUCCACCACCCAAGCUCCAGACGGCCGGUCGGCGAACGAUCUCGCAUCACAGACGUUCACGCACAGGCACCACGCACGGCUGCAGAAGACCCCCUUCGCUCCACCACAACGCAGACGCUCCACGACAGUCGUUCACGCAUAGGCCCCAACUCUGCUUCACCAUGCACAACUGAGGACGGCUGCAGACCUUCUUGCUCCACCACGGAUGGCUACACACAGCUGACGAUAUGGUUGAUUUUCUGAUUCUAGCUGUUGUCUUCUAUUUCGUUUGAUUUUCUGAUUCAAGUUGUCUUCGUCUUUCUCGAGUUUUCGUUCCACACAUUUUCAUAUUAUACUUGAAAUUGAUAACCAUUACUAACAUUACCGUAGCCAUUUUGAAGCAUAAUUUUGAGAGGUUAAGUUGUGUUAGGAGUUUGAUAGAUUCUUUUGAAUCUCUGUUGCUUUCAAAUGGGGUUGAAUCUAAGGAGCUUGAGAAGCUAUUUUCAAAAAAGGUAGAAGAAGAAGUAGUUGUGGAUUAAAAUGUUGAGUAUGAGAAGCUUUUGAAGGAGAGAAAUGAUUGAGGUUUGGUUUUGAGAUCUUUGAAAUUUUCAUCGAGUAAAUUUAGACUUCCACAAACUUCAAGCAAAAGAGGGCUUAGAGCAUUUUGUUUUAGGAAUCCUUCUUUGUACUUUUGCACAGUAUCAAGCUCGUUUAAGUUGUAUUCAAUGCGAAAUGUUGCACCAUUGGAAACAUUGGUGAUGGAUGAAGCUGUACAGUUGAAGGAGUGUGAGUCUGCAAUUCCUUUGCAAUUUCCUGCUAUAAAGCAUGCAAUUCUUUUUGGUGAUGAGUGCGAAUUGCCUGCUAUGGUUGAAAGCAAAGUGAGGAGACAUUCUUUCUCUGAACUUAAUUUUUUAUUAAUACCAAACUUACUUUGAAUGUAUGCUCAUAUUCUGAUAGAACUCUACUUUCUGAAUUGAAAUUCAAACUUUAUUUACGUAGGAAAUGGGUUACAAUAGUGAUGAAUUGAGGAAAUCUCAAUUCAACUCUCUGCUCUCUUGUUCUUCUCUCUUUCAAGAAGUAACAACAGCACAAACUCUACUAACAGAAUUUCCUCAUCCUUUCCCGCCUAAACAGAAUUCUAUUUAUACUGAAGGCCAGCCGACUUAACUACUAUUUCGCACAUGUGUAACAUGUGAUUUUUUAUUUCUUUCUUCUGCUGUAAACGAACUUGUUAGGCGGUCUAACAUAUUCAUUGUUUAAUUUAAGUCUCUGAGAACAUAUUCAACGUUUAAAUAAGUUGAUCAACGGCUUAAGGCUCGUCUCAAGGUAAGACUCUAACUUUUAGCUUUGAGACUUACACUUUCAAUGAAACCAUAAGAAGCUUAUGCUUCUAUAGAAGAGGCUUACUAGCUUCUUUGUGAAAUCACACCAAGGCUUAAAAUCUUUACGUAUGUCCUAUCUAAUGAUUAUUUGAAAAAUAACAGUGACUUUCCUAAUUCUUAAAAUAUAUUAAGAUUUGAGUUGUGAGAAUCUGAACUAGGAUUACUUUUAUUGUUAUGGCCUCAAAAAUUUAAAUUUAUCCUGUUAUGAUAAUUGUAGUCAUGAUAAAAGUCGCACCCUUUUAUAAAUUUUUAUUACAUGAAAGCUGGGAGGUUGGUUUCUCUUUUCACUUUUAUAUGACUUCAUGUUCAGGCAAUACUUGGGUUGUACCAAUUUAUAUUUUGUAAAAUGUUUUUAAUUUGUUAUUUGCAAGGCUAAAGCGUCUCUCAUACCACUUUGAGGCUUAUACCCUUUUGUCUCUCCUAAAAGAAAACCUCAAUGCUUUUUGUAGCCUUUUAAUAUAUACAUGUAAGACUGUUCUAUUGAUCAAUUGUGUGUCUCAUAAGUUGUUAAACAGUAGUUCUUUAAUUUACUAGUUAUCUAAUUUUGUUUAGAAAAUGUUUAAUAACUAGAGCUCCAUUAGAACAAAAUUUAUAGGAAUGAACCUAAUUCGAUAUCUUUUGAAGUUCAUGAACUAUGUAGCUCAAUUUUUAUUUUGAUUGUUCCUUUCCCUAGUAUAGUAAUUCACUCAAUUGUUUUGCUUCCCAUGUGUUUGUUGUAAGGUUGCAGAUGAAGCUAAGUUUGGAAGAAGCUUAUUUUAGAGGUUGAGUUCAUUGGGGCAUCAAAAGCAUCUUCUCAGUGUGUAAUAUAGAAUGCAUCCAUCUAUAAGCUGUUUUCCAAACUCAAAGUUUUAUUCAAAACCAAAUCUCAUGGUCCUAAUGUCAAAACCAAAGGUUGUGUCAAAAAAAUUCUUAAUGGUCCUAUGUUUGGUUCAUAUUCUUUCAUCGAUGUAAAUGAGGGAAGAGAAGAAAAGGAUGGCAUUACACAAAUUUGGAAAAAUAUGGUAGAGGUUGAUGUUGUUCUGCAAAUUAUUCAAAAGUUGUACAACAAAGCAACAUGUGUUGACUGAAAUAAGAAGAUUAGCAUUGGUGUGGCCUCUCCUUAUUCAGCUCAAGUAGCUGCCAUUGAACACAAACUUGGGAGAAACUAUAAAAACUGUAAUAGCUUUAAAGUGACAAUGAGCUCAGUUGAUGGAUUCCAAGGUGGGAAGGAGGAUAUCAUUAUCAUUUCUACAGUACAAUCAAAUAGAAGCUCAUCGAUCAGGUUCUUAUCCAGUAAUCAAAGAACAAAUGUUUGCUCUUACUAGAUCUAGGUAAGAGCUAGGUAAGUAACAAUAUAACUUGAUAUACUUUUAUGCGAAUACGGAUAAUAUGUAAUGAAAUACAUGAGAGAUAUAAUCACUAAUGAGAGCAUAGUAGUCACAGAUUUAGUAUGUUGUGUUUAAA